UACGAAGGGGGGCUAGCGUUGCUCGGAAUCACUGGGCGUAAAGCGCACGUAGGCGGCUUGUUAAGUCAGGGGUGAAAUCCUGGAGCUCAACUCCAGAACUGCCUUUGAUACUGGCGAGCUUGAGUUCGGGAGAGGUGAGUGGAACUGCGAGUGUAGAGGUGAAAUUCGUAGAUAUUCGCAAGAACACCAGUGGCGAAGGCGGCUCACUGGCCCGAUACUGACGCUGAGGUGCGAAAGCGUGGGGAGCAAACAGG
rnacentral:rRNA from 1 species